CUGACUGAGAGGACAAUUCAGUUCGGUGCUCACAGAGGAGGUGUGAGCAAUUAUUUCUCCACCAUAACCAUAUCAUGCUGUUAUAUGUCCCCUUCCUGCAAAUCUGCAGUCUUCCUCAUGCCCAUCAGUCCCUGAUUGAGAGAGAUCAACGAGCAGAACACUGACCGUCUUGUUCUUAAACUGUUGCCCUGAGGAUGAAUAUACCAAAGACUUUAUCCAAAGAGAUCAUCUGAAUUUUCCUGUAGUGCCGGAGGUUUCAAGAACUGCUGGAUGGAUUGCCGUGAAAUUUGUUACACACAAACAUGCCCCCCUCAGGAUGAAUUGUUAUCAUUUUUGUUAUCCCUUUAGCUUUUCAACUACUUUGGUUUAUGACUAGAUACCUGUAAAACUUAUGACAUGGUGAAAAUGUUAGUUGAGUGACAGUAGAGAUAUUUAAGCUAUUCACAGUCAUUCAAUCAGAUUCAUUCACUGUCAGAUCAGAAUAUAAGCAUAAUUUAAGAUAAUAAAAAUCAGAAAGACACACAAAAAAGUAAAAAGUUAAAGUAUCAUUUUGGCCAGGAUAUAUUGUACCAUGCUAGCGCGAGAUCAGUGGAGUGGCUCAGUCUUAAGCAGAAUCUGGUCAGUCAGAAUGUGAUUGAAAAAUGAUCAUUUAAAGCAGAUAUGUGAAGCUUGAGUUGAUUUCGUGGGGCAGAGGCUUGUGACUUUUUUUAAUAGUGUUUUAUACUUUGAUACUUAUAGUUAGGAAAUGGUGGAGGACAUGGAAGUUAAUUUUUUGGUGGAUGCUAAAAUAAUGAAUUGUUAUUUUAGUCAAGUUUUACCUCGUCAUUUUAAAUUGUGUUAGUGGAAAAUUUUGAUAUUCCUCAUUACCCGCUCGCUAGCUGGUUAAAUUGUUAGCCUUGGUGGCUUCAAGAUGCUGAAAGUAACAUUAAUAUUAAUGACAAGAGCACAAGGCGUGUUUUGGCGUCCAUUUUGCCUAGCAGCAGUGUUCUCGUGACUUAACCACUUGAAUGCCAAGCAUAUUGUGCACAUGACUUGCCAUGUCGUAACCACAAGUUCAUUCCAUUUGAAGGCAGCAAUUGUCACGAUGAGCAUAUUAGCAUGCUGAUGUUAGUAUUUAGCUCAAAGCUUGUACACUCGGUGGUAUGGCCCCACAGAGCUGCUUGCAUGGCUGUGAACCCCUAGUCUUGUUUCUGCUGACUGCCUGUGUUUGAAAUACUCUGUCCUUUUGAUUCACAUGAACAGCUCUUGUUGACUGACAGCUCUGGUACAAUGUCACCAGUCCUCAAAGAGCUAGCUUCAUUACUUUUGAACAGGUCCGUCUUAAAGCAAUAGUCUAAACAUGUGUUGGAUUUGGCUCGGACUUACCCAGAGACAACCUAAACCUGAAGCUUAUCUAUGACGAACUGUUGUUGUGGGGAUCAGGUGGAGGGGGGAGCUUUUCUAAUCUGCCCACCUGUCUAACAUACUGAGCAGUAAAUAUACACAGGGAUUUGUCCUUAGAUCCACCUGAUUGACCUUUUGCUAAAGGCUAAAUCUGAAACAAAAAGUUGUCUGUGUGAUUUCAAGUUACUGUGUUGUGAAUCAACGUUGUGUGUUUUUCACGCCCUCGUCAUUGUUAAAAGCCUCCCCCACCUCGGCUAUAAAAACAGUUUUUUGUCAUCAUCUCACGUUUUUGCCAUCUGCCACAGAAGAAUAAAGUACAUGCUCGGUACUUGUAUUUUGUAUCUUUAUAUGCCUGCCUCUGGGAGAGUAGAUGCCUAUCUUAUCUCUUUCUGUUACCUGCGAGUGGGAGUUGUUUAGCAUUUUAUGUGUUUGUAUGAGUACAGCAUGUCCCAGGGAUGUUCUGUUCAGUUUAAAUUAACUCAUUUUCUCUGUCCUGUUUAUCCUGUUCAACUGACAAGCUUUCAUUGGCCUAUGUGUUCUUAUGAAUCACAUCUAAUACAAGUCAGACUGCUUCUCUGCAUACAGUAUGUACAAGCAAGUCAUGUAUUAUCUGUUUGAGUAAUGUUAAGGAAUGAAGCAGUUUGGCAGGUUUCUCCAUCCUAAAACUACCGGAUAUGUGUGUGUAUAUAAGGGCAUAAAAGGUGCGGAGUGGGCUGAUGGAUCCAUGUGUGUGUGUUUGUAACACUCUAGCUGGUCCAUCUCAAGGCCAUUAAAAUAGCAUAAACUCUUAUCUCUUAUGGGUUGCUUACUGUAUACCAGCUUAUCUAACUGUACAUCUCUUCCUGUUGUGGUUGAGAAAUAGAGACAGAACCAAAGAGUCUUUGUACAUUUGUAGCCAUGCUAGUGGCUGUACGAAUGGCAUUCUAAUAUUCCCCAGAGGAUGAAUCUUAAAUACACUGUUGAUUCCUUGACUUUUCUUCUGGUGCCACCAGCAUAUCAAACAUUAUCCAGCGUAUCUUAAUAUCUACUGACUGGACUAGCACAACAUUUUGUCCAGACAUUUGUGGUUAUCUCAUGUUUUAAUUUAAACCUUUGGGAUUCAAAGGGACUUAAUGUCCUCAGUGAGAAUGCCAAUUUUAACUGUAAAUGAUGUAAUUAACAUUGUUCUCUUUUUCCAGGGUUUGAGGUUGAACCUCAUCUCUAUGAGGUGUUACAGCCCUCUCUGUACAGGACUCCUUUCUUGCUGCAGGAGCCUGGGGGAAGGUUGGGUACUCUGGGAUAUUCAGAGAUACUCUACUCUAGAUAACCAGGUGGUAGCCAGCCGUUUCUCUUUCCCCUGGCUUCCAUUCUGGUUUGUUGUUUUUAGUUGUCUUACUUACAACUCAUAUAUAGUCUCCUCUCCUUUGUCCAGCAUUGAGCCAGGUUUUGACAGCUGACAAUGAGUCUUGAUGACUUUGGUGAUCUUCUGCUAGCUAUUGCAUCUUUCGCCAUGAGGAUGGCAUUUUUGGUUCAGACAGAAACAUAUAAUAUUGCCACUCACAUUUCGUAACGCUUUCAUGCUCACAACAAUGACCCCUUUCAUGUAAAAUACCAAGGAAAUUAACACCAAAGUGGAAAAAACUAAAACUCAACUAAUUUAAUUUUCUUUCUGUCUCUCUUUCUCUCUCUAUGUUUUUUAAAUCAGGAACAUACUUGUAACUUGUACAAUAGUAUCAUAAAGGAAAACACACUGUAAAAGAGGAAGUCUAGUUGUCACGGUGACACUGCAAAGUCUGUACAUAGGUUUAAACACUGUUAUUUCACUACCUGCCUGCUGCUGCAUAAUAACACUGUCUAUUGUUGUGAUGAUGUCUCGACACUUUCCACUGCUUUAGUAACAGUCACUCAUUAUUGACACUCUCUUUCACACACACACAGGCACACAGUUGCAGUGGAGCUCUACCAGGGUGUGGACACACAGCUGUGUUGAUAGAGCUAACCGCAGGCAGCGCUAACCUCCACGUACCUAAGUCAGCCUCCACUUUCUUCUUCACCUCACCCUCUUUAGCCUCCUCUCUUACCAUUCCUUCCUCUCUCGUGAUGACUCGCCAGGUAUAAAGUAGAGGGCGAGGUGGGGUUAUCAGCAGUGCACGAUAUGUACUGGUGCUGCCAUGGGGUCAUUUUCACACAGAAUAGCUGUGAUUAGAUGAGCUGCGGUCUUCCCUACAGAGCUCAAAACAAAAAGCGUGAGAGGAUUGUGAGACAGCAUGUACUGUAGCUGUUUCCACUCCAUAUUUAUCCUAUGGUCACAAUUUUGAGCUUGAUUUAGUCACAGAAUGAACAGAUCAUGCCCUCUGCUUCAUUUGGUCUUCAUUACAAGAGUAUGUGUAAAUCUACCAAGCAAGUAAUAGGAUAACAUAUUUUUGCUGGGCUCAAUUCUCAAGUAGUCAUUGUUUUGCAGGUGGUCACUUGAUUGGUGUUUGUUCCAGAAUGCCUCCAGGAUGCUUUUUUGAGUCAUCUGAGGCGAAUGCUGUUUUGUUGUGUGGUUUUGUCUUUCACAGACAGGACACAGCAGAUUCGUCAACAGCAAGUAUUUGCAGAGCUUAAAAGAGAAACACAGAUUCAUAAUGAGAGAGGGCUUAACAAAUCUUAGCCUGACUCACGAACAAGGACAUGAACAUAAUCUAUAGGGCUAUAUAAGGUAAGUCAACAAACUCCUCUCAGAUUGCAAAACUUCAGGCAGGGAUGUACACACACACAUAACAACAUGAACUUGUGAUAGUAACAAAUAUUAUAUCCUGAACAUCUUGACAUAAUUCGUUUAUACUUCCUUUCAAACUGCAGUGUCCUAAAAAUAUAUUCAAACACACAGAUACACAGAUACAAGCAUUAUCUUUAUGCUAUGCGUGGGUGUGUGCGUGUGUUCUCCCUGCUGUCGGCGCCUGACUUCCUGCUUUGGUUUCCAUCAGCUGAAAUUCACUGGCUUUAAGUCAAGUGAGGAUGUGUCUGUGUGUGCACUCAAAUCCACUCAAACACGCGCUCAAAUACACACAAAGUUGAUCAGGCACUGAUGGCCUAAAAUUAUGCGAGCAUUUCAGGGUUUUACCAGAGGAACUUGUUUUUUUAAGUUGACCUAAUUAAAUUACUGCUAGUGAAAGAGAUCCCAAAUUAAAUGAUCGCUUCCUCAUGAUACAAGAAAUACAAAGUGCAGAAAAUGAGCCGGAUAGCGGCUGUAAGAAGGUUACAGAGGCAAUCUGGAAAAUUACAAACCCUUUGAUAUAAUGCAUUCAUGUAUCUCAUCUUACCUCCAAUAUAAUACAGUCCAACAACACUUUACAUUUCAGCCUUAAAAACCCCAGAGUGCAUUCAAAACAACUGUGACAAAUAAUGAAAAUCAACAAAAAUGUAAAGCUCACAAAGUUUGUAUGUGCUGCAUGUGUUCAUGUGAUUGCUUUUGGACCCUAUAAGGAAACUAUAUUGCUGGUGUGUCCUUGACAUGGGUACACUGUAAUAAUGUCUACUAAUAUUCAAUCAGGUUUUAAUUUUAAUCAGUUUGAUGAUUUUAGCUGAUAAUCAUUCCAUUAAUGAGUGUGCCAAAUCUGUGUCCUUAUCCCACAUACAGUAGAAGAGUUUCAUUUAGGAGAGUCUGAUAAUAUAACCCAGUGGGACAAAUUUACUCAUAAUACCCCGUUCAAAGUAUACUUCACUCCAGCUGAGAUUUUAAGAUCGAACUGUGAACUUUAAGCUUCAAGUCAUUAUCAGGAAGUUUGGAGGAAAGUUUGAUUAGUAGGGGUAGCUAUUCGGUCCUAUGACAAGAUCAGGGAAUGGAUGUUUACAUUUUUAAACUUUAGCAGCUGAAACUCUUAAAGGACCAGUGUGUAAGAUUUAGCGGCAUCUAGCAGAAUAGACUUGGCAGGAAUGGGAUAUAAUAUUCAUAAGUAUGUUUAAAUUAGUGUAUAAUCAGCAGAAAAUAAGAAUUGUUGUGUUUUUGUUAGCUUAGAAUGAGCACUUCAUAUCUAUAUAGGGAGUGGGUCCUCUUCUAUGGAGACCGCAUGUUUCCUCUGUAACUCAGAACGGACAAACCAAACAUUGGCUCUAGAGAGGGCCUCAUGUGUUUUUUGCUAGUUUCAUGGCCAUCGUAGGUUCUCCCAUAUGCUUACAAAGGCAAGGAAGGAGUAUUCAGUUGGUUGCAAUCUGCAACCUCACUGCUAGACGCUAUUAAAUCCUACACACAGGUUCUUUAAUGCUGCUUCUCACCUUGCACCUUCCUGUAAUGGCAUACAGGUGUACAUCGGGGUGAAAGAAUUAAAAAAGCAUCAACUUCUCUCUAAAAAUUCUAAGUCAAUAUUUUUUUCAUUAAGUCAUUAUGGUCUCUGUUGUUAAAUGUGGGCUCUCUAAUAAGGGUGAUGGCGGUCAUUUGGGAAAUUAUUGCUCCAUUAAUAAGAAUUUUGAAGACUUAUAGCAGCUUUGAUGUCUGUUGUGUGGGGGUUGAUUGAUAGCUGUGAUUGACAGUUUGCUCACCUGCUUCUUUUUGCAGCUCCAGGACUCACACUGACUCAGACUGUUGUUGCAAUAUUUCAUUAAAUUUAAUGUUACUUGAUUAUGAGACUUGCCUUUGGUCAGAGGUACAACACACUUAACACUUUUAACCAGAGAGCAGUGAAACACGUAUCACCUUAAAUUAAUCUUUAAAGCUGUAUUAACAUGUUUUUGUUCACCGGGGGGCAGAACAACAUCAAAACAAGCUGAUAGCUGCAAAAUCACCACAUAAUACCGGUUUAUAAAGUUAAGGCUAAUCUGAAAGUAAUUCCUCCCCACACCCAGCAAAACUCAGAGUAGUCAUGUUUCUGUCCACCUGACUCCAAUAUUCACUCUCAUUAUAGCUUAAUUUUAGUGUCCAUCAGCUUGCUUAUGCUCAACUUUUCUCAUCAGCUUGUCACCAGUUUAUCUGACAGCUGUUUGGUGCUGGGCAGGUAGAGAGUAGUGGGUUUAUCAGAGCUCUCUUGAUUGAUGAGACUCUUAGGCUGUACGUUGCAGUAAACACCUCUGUCUCUCAGAAAUUAUGUUUAUGUACUAAUUUAUUUCCCUAGUUAAAUUUUUAUGGGAAACAUAAUUGUAGCUUGGCGUAUUACUGGAAAACUAUAAAAAUAACAAAUACAUUUGUUUGCUACUUUGACAGAUCUGGAGCAUGCAGCAGCACUGUACUCAUUUGAUCCAGGAAGCAAUGCUUGUUUUUAAUUAAAUAUGUCUAUCAACACUCCACUCAAGAGAUUAUUUAUUAAAGAGGUUUUAUUAAAUACUUUCUGAGUAGUUAAAAUUACGACAAGGAACUUUUAACUAGUUAUGAAACAGUCUGAUGAUGUCUCUUAUGCCUCUAUAUGACCUACAUAGGCAAACAAGAUCCUCACUGAAAGGAUUGGUUAUUUCUAUAUAGUUAUUCUAUAUGACUGUCAAUAGCACCCUAUGUUUACAUUACAUGCAUUGUAGCAUGAGGGAGUACCAAGACAUUACUAGGAUGAGGAGAGGACAUUUCUCUUAACGUUGAAAGUAAAGUUAGACUUCUUGUCAGCCUCCUGACUCAUUUUAAAGAAAGGUGAGAAAAAGAGCGAGAAAAAAAGCAUAAACGAGCUGAGAGAGCAGUGGUGGUUGAGCGAAUUAGAGAGCAAAUGAAGAGGACACAACCCUGCAGGUAAGGUGCCACAUUACUAGAUUUUGUGUGAAUGCAGCCUUACAUGUAACCUUGUUGUAUAGGCUAAUCAGAAUUAAAACAAGUUUUUGUUUGCUUCACCAUCAUCACAUUACAAUGAUCCAUCUUAAAUUGCCACAAACAGAUACAUCAUCGUUAUGCAUCCUGAAAAUUUAAAAAAGAAAAAUAGUACUAAAAAUGAAUAGUGUUUUUCUUUCACUCUCUUCCAAACAAAUGCUCAUGCUAGCCAAGAUCUUUGCAACAUGAGGCGGAGGUGCUCAGGGAAAAUGCAGUCCUCAUUCUGGAAACACACCACUGCUUUUGUCCACAGGGGCCACUAAAAUCAACACAAAAUUAAAGUUUCUUGUGGUAAAUUGAAUAAAUGUUUCAUGUGUGCUUUAUAAAUUUAUUUAUAAUGCAUGAAUAGGAAUACAUUUUCCUCCAACAGCAUCAAACUUUCUUUGUCUUUUCAGCGGUUCCCUCUAAGAGAGACUCAGAGACUCGAAGAAUCCGUGACAACAAGGAAUGAAGCCGUUUCUUUUGGCUUAUGGUGGAUGAGCACCAAAUAACUUAUUGUCUAUUCUAUUUGGGUGUGUUUUUCUUUUGAUUAUAUUCUCUGGAUUUUAUCUUAUUUUAUUGAUUUUGUUUUGUUGUGUGUUAGUCACUUUCUUGUCUGUUUGCCUACAUACUGUAUUUCUAUCUUUCCAGGCAUUCGGUCUCUUGACAUUUUCAAGGUGUACAAGGCAACAUACAGUUUGUACACAUAGCUCAUAUGUCACUACUUUCUCAUACAAAACACACACACACACACACACACAGAGAGAGAGAGAGAGAGAGAGAGAGAGA